rnacentral:lncRNA from 1 species
GGGGCUGAAAAUGCAAGUAACCUAUACCUGAUCAUGAAAUGCAUCACCUAAAGCUAAGAUCAACAAUUUGCAAAGUCAUUAUAGAAACAUUGGAAGACAAAGAUAGAUGUCUUAACAUUGACAAGAACUCAUCACCGAAAACAAGUUAUAUGCUCAUCUGAAGUUACAAUGUACCAACUUAUAACCGAAAAGGAAGAAAAUCUAUAUGCUGAAAGAGUA